rnacentral:rRNA from 1 species
AUGAAUUGCCUCAGCUGGAACUGCCGCGGGCUUGGGAACCCAGCGGCAGUUCGAGAGCUUCGCAGUAUCGUGAAGCAGAAAGGGCCCGGUCUCCUCUUUCUGAUGGAGACGAAAAUUUCGGCAAAACGAGUUGAAAACUUGAAGACCACACUUGGUUCUGCAGGUUGUUUUGCUGUAAACAGUGAGGGAUUGAGUGGAGGAGUUGCGCUAUUCUGGUCAACCGACGUCAAGGUUGAGCUCAAGAAUUUUAGUUCUGGCCAUAUUGAUGUUAUGGUGCAGACAAAUGACCCGGAUUCGAGUCCGUGGCGCUUCACGGGAUUCUACGGAGCCCCUAGAGCAGCAAAUCGACACCAUAGCUGGAGAUUUCUGCGUACGCUCAAAGCACUGCCUCACGCGCCUUGGCUGUGUGUGGGCGACUUUAAUGAACCACUUUUUGCCUCGGAACACUUCUCGCAAGUUGUUCGUCCGGAGUGGCAGAUGCGAGCUUUCCGAGAGGCUACUGAUGAUUGA